rnacentral:misc_RNA from 1 species
GUCGCGGCAUCUCAAACGAAUCGGACGCGAAAUGCCAAAAUCGAGCGGGAACUCGGACCCAGAACGCCGAGUGAUAUUUGAAUAAUAUUUCACUCGUUUUCGAACUGAACAAGCGGAAUAUCCGCUCGUGGUUGUGUAAGUUCGCCGAAUGCGCGGAUUCGACAGGAGCGCGAUUUCUGAAAUAUUUAUGAUACUGUCAGUGCGAGUUAGUAAAUUGUGAAAAGCUGCAGCGGGUUUUCGAAAGAUUAAGGAUCUCAAAAGUGAAAUGUUUUCAGUUGUUGAACAGUUUAUUUCGUCCGACGGACUACGCGAAAAUCGUAUUGUAACGGAAAAUAUACCGGGAAUACAAUAAAAUGUAAAAUAAACCUGAAAAACGAUUCAAAUUAAAACCUUAAUGCUCGGCUAUAUUCGAAAUAAUUACACUUUUCAUGUAUUUAAAACGCUACACUAAAUAAGCGAAGCAUUAACGGAAAAACAAUAUUUUCAAACGCUAUAAGAAAUUCGGUUGUAAAAUAUCUGUGAGGAACCCAAAAGAAAUGUAACCCGAAAGUAUCCGCACAUCGGAGUCUUAGUAUUAUAGACUUUUCCACUAGGCAGUGAUUGAAUUUGUGAUUUUCGGCUAAAAACCUGGCUAAUCCAUUUGCCAGCUUUCUUAAAAACGAAUUCCAGCGAAAUCUUGAAGCACUUUACCGGAAAGAUAGUAGCUAAUACUAAGAAGGAUAUACUUUCCGAUAUUCAAACGCAGAUUGCCGCAUAAUCAUCUGAAAUUCGACUUUCCGCACGUGGAAGACAAAAAAUGUGAGUUUUCCCACGCAAUCCUGAAGUGAACAAACAAAAGUGAUGGCAGCGUGUCGC